rnacentral:rRNA from 1 species
GACGAACGCUGGCGGCGUGCUUAACACAUGCAAGUCGAACGGAAAGGCCCUGCUUUUGUGGGGUGCUCGAGUGGCGAACGGGUGAGUAACACGUGAGUAACCUGCCCUUGACUUUGGGAUAACUUCAGGAAACUGGGGCUCAUACCGGAUAGGAGCUCCUGCUGCAUGGUGGGGGUUGGAAAGUUUCGGCGGUUGGGGAUGGACUCGCGGCUUAUCAGCUUGUUGGUGGGGUGGUGGCUUACCAAGGCUUUGACGGGUAGCCGGCCUGAGAGGGUGACCGGCCACAUUGGGGCUGAGAUACGGACCAGACUCAUACGGGAGGCAGCGGUGGGGAAUAUUGCACAAUGGGCGGAAGCCUGAUGCAGCAACGCCGCGUGCGGGAUGACGGCCUUCGGGUGGGAAACCGCUUUCGCCUGUGACGAAGCGUGAGUGACGGUAAUGGGGAAAGAAGCACCGGCUAACUACGU